rnacentral:antisense_RNA from 1 species
UUCAAUGGUGGCGUUGGUAGGGCAACCGCAAGGUUGGCUGGUUUCCGUUUGUGCCAGUAGUUCCAACCCUGUCAACGUCACCACCCCU